ACAAACUUGGUCAUUUAGAGGAAGUAAAAGUCGUAACAAGGUUUCCGUAGGUGAACCUGCGGAAGGAUCAUUACUGAAUUAACGAUGGGGUUGAUGCUGGCGCUUCGGCGCAUGUGCUCGCCUUGUCAAAUUCACCCUUUUACCACCUGUGAACCUAUGUAGACAAUCGUACCUCUCAGCGAGCAAUCUGCUGGAUCGAAGGAUUUGCGCUUUAGCUAUCUUUCAAUUCGAUUGUCUAUUUUAUCCCUAUAAACAAGUCCUAGAAUGUCCUUUGUGGGUCGCAAGACCUAUAAAACUUAAUACAACUUUCAACAACGGAUCUCUUGGCUCUCGCAUCGAUGAAGAACGCAGC
rnacentral:misc_RNA from 1 species